rnacentral:rRNA from 1 species
GACGAACCGAGCGAACGUUGUUCGGAAUCACUGGGCUUAAAGGGCGCGUAGGCGGGUGUGCAAGUCUGCGGUGAAAGCCUCCAGCUUAACUGGAGAAGUGCCGUGGAUACUGCUCAUCUUGAGGAGGGUAGGGGCAUCUGGAACGGUCGGUGGAGCGGUGAAAUGCGUUGAUAUCGACCGGAACUCCGGUGGCGAAGGCGAGGUGCUGGACCCUUUCUGACGCUGAGGCGCGAAAGCCAGGGGAGCAAACGGG